UACGAAGGGGGCUAGCGUUGCUCGGAAUCACUGGGCGUAAAGGGCGCGUAGGCGGCCACCGCAAGUCGACUGUGAAAUCUCCGGGCUUAACCCGGAAAGGUCAGCCGAUACUGCGGGGCUAGAGUGCAGAAGGGGCAACUGGAAUUCUCGGUGUAGCGGUGAAAUGCGUAGAUAUCGAGAGGAACACCUGCGGCGAAGGCGGGUUGCUGGGCCGAUACUGACGCUGAGGAGCGAAAGCGUGGGGAGCGAACAGG
rnacentral:rRNA from 1 species